rnacentral:misc_RNA from 1 species
CCGUGCCCGCGGGCCCGGCGGUUGUCUCCGGCCGUCGGUGCCCGCAUCCGGCCAAUCCGUGUCUAUCUUACCUGUUGCUUCGGCGGGCCUGCGGCCGGUCCUCUCGGGCCGCCCGCUGCCGGGAGGGGUUUUCCCUCCGGGCUCGUGCCCGCCGAAGGUUCCAUGAAACCCUGAUGCCAAACGUGUUGUCUCAGUGGGAUGAUAAUCAGUCA